GCAUCUGAAAAUCAAAACAAAGGUUAAAAAAUGGUUUUCCUUGCAUAUCAUGUACUAGUUUGAUGAGAUCACAUUUGAAAUAAAGAUUUACAUUUCAUCUAAACAAAAUCAUGUAUUGUCUAUGGAAGCUUUUGCAUAAUGCAGAGCUGAGUGGUUACAACAGAAAGCGUGUAGCCCACAAAGAUUAGUAUUUACUUCCAAAGUCACAGAGAAAGGAAACAGCAAUAUCUCAUACCAUCCCCCCGAAUCGCUCAAAAUUCCAGAUAACGAGUUUGUUUCUAUUGCUGGGAAACUAACGCCCUCUAGGGACACUUCAGAGAAAAAACAUCUUCUGACGUCAACUACAACUGCAAACUCAAGGACUGCUGUGGUCCAGGCCAUUUAAUAGGGACCAGUUAACUGCAUGGACCAGUUAAUAGGGACCAUGCACUGACACCACUGGCUGCACCCAUUAUUUCCCUCAUGACUGUCUCAUAUGUCCUCUUACUUUUUUUUAACCAGGGCAUGCCUUGAUUACCAUGGGAAGAUGCAGAUGUUAGAAGGUAUUUUAAAGCACAUUAAUAACAGUUCUAAAGAAAGUCACAGCCUUUGACUUGGGGACUCUAAAACACAUUCUUCAAGGUGACACCCAUUAUGCAAAAUCAUGUUCUUUGACAGUGGUACCAAAUUCCGUUUAGAAAUUUAGUUUGGCUCUCCUCAUAGAUACUUCAAUCAGAAAUGACCUUUGAGACCACUUACUCCAAUUCUUCAUGUUGUAUAGUCUAGGACAGCAGUCUACAAAAUGUUGUGCAAUGAGACGCAUAAUAAAUAUUUUCAGCGUUGUGGGCCUUAUGGUUUCUGUCCCAAGUACUCAACUCAACUUACCACUGUGGUACACUAGCCAUAUACAACGCACAGACACACGGGCAUGGCUGUGUUCCAAUAAAAUGUAUUUGCAAAAACGAGCAGUAGGCCAGACUGGCUGGUGUGUUGGUUUGCUGAUUCCUGAUCUAGAAGGUCAACUUUCUUGUCAGAGAUCAGUGGGCAGGUUAGUGGCACAGCCAAAAUCAAAACCUAGGUUUUCUCUCUUAACCUAGAGUUUUUUCCUACAUUGUUUUAUUUUUACUGGGUUUAAUAUGUGAUACAUAUUAAAUAUUAAAACAGAGAAAACAAAAACUAAGGAGGUGAGACUUCAUAAGCAAAAAGAAGUUUAACACCUUCAAAUUAAGGCUCUGUUGGGAAAGAAACUAAAAGACUGUUAAAAAACAAAUGGAAAAGUUUAGUCAACUGACUAAACUUGGUUUGCUUGCUGCUACUUAGUAAGGUAAUCAAUUAUGAUCUUUGGGUUUGCAGAUUUCAUGGGUGUGUAAAUAUUUAGUGACUAAUAUUCAUAUUUUGUGGGUAAACU